rnacentral:rRNA from 1 species
ACCGGCGCACGGGUGAGUAACACGUAUGGAACCUGCCCGCCACAGGGGGAUAACCCGGGGAAACCCGGCCUAAUACCCCAUGCCGCCCGGACCGGGCAUCCGGUCCGGGCGAAAGGAGGAAUCCGGUGGCGGCUGGGCAUGCGGCGCAUUAGCUUGACGGCGGGGUAACGGCCCACCGUGGCGACGAUGCGUAGGGGUUCCGAGAGGAAGGCCCCCCACACUGGAACUGAGACACGGUCCAGACUCCUACGGGAGGCAGCAGUGAGGAAUAUUGGUCAAUGGGCGAGAGCCUGAACCAGCCAAGUCGCGUGAGGGAGUACUGCCCUAUGGGUUGUAAACCUCUUUUGUCGGGGAGCAAAAGCCGGACGUGUCCGUCUGUGAGAGUACCCGAAGAAAAAGCAUCGGCUAACUCCGUGCCAGCAGCCGCGGUAAUACGGAGGAUGCGAGCGUUAUCCGGAUUUAUUGGGUUUAAAGGGUGCGCAGGCGGAUUUUUAAGUCAGCGGUCAAAUCGUGGGGCUCAACCCCAUCCAGCCGUUGAAACUGGGGAUCUAGAGUGUGCGAGAGGUAUGCGGAAUGCGUGGUGUAGCGGUGAAAUGCAUAGAUAUCACGCANAACCCCGAUUGCGAAGGCAGCAUACCGGUGCACAACUGACGCUCAGGCACGAAAGCGUGGGUAUCGAACAGGAUUAGAUACCCUGGUA